UCCAUCCAGGGUCUUUCUUGGAGUGACUUUGAAAACCUAAGAGAAAAAAAUCUCCCUGUGGCCUCCAUAACCCUGGCAGGCAAGGACCGUUCUUUUAAUCUCCCUCUGGCAUGCCGGAGAGCAGAGGGGUGAUGAUGACUCAGACCCAGCAGCACAACAUAAGACUUGGGGCUCACCUUAAUGUGAAUGCCCAUGGCCUUCUCUCCGGACCGAUAUCUGUCCAGCCACUGACUGCCAGCUCUAAGAACUGCUCAGAGCAGGAAAACCCUCUGUAUUACACAUUCUGGCCUUCCCACCACGCAUGUGCGGCCAGCAUCAGAAACAAGAUACAGACGCUAGUUGGGGAACUCUGUUGGGUCUGCAUUCCAAGGUAACUGCCACCUAGAGAAGUCCCCAAAUCUCCGAAGCACACGGGGGCUGGAGUCGGCGGGUACCGGUGGUGCAUGAGCCCUGGCAGGCUAAUCCAGUUCAUCUCUCUGUGCCUCAGUUUCUUCAAGUUAAUUUCCACGACUGCUGUACGAAUUAGAUGAGUUCUGCCUACAGAACUGCAAUGUAUCAGUAAUAGUAUUACUUCCCCGUAGCACUCUAUCCCCGGUCAUUCCGUAUCCUGAACAAGCUGACUUAGUGCAGCUAGGACAAAAAUCCGCCUGGUUAAAGCUACCUCCUGACAGCAAUGCAUUUAAAACUGCCCGGGAAGCGCGGGGCAAACUGAACGGCUAUUACACAACCCAUAAGAAAGGCUACAUAGCACACGCUCUGCCUGCCUGCCCGCCUCCCUGCAACAGAAGGAGAAGGCAAAUGUCACUGUCUCACUGCCUCUCAGCUGCUCGGCUGCCAAAGGGCGGGCGGCCGGGCCAGCCGGGUCGGGGCCACGUUUCUCGGCGCGAGUGUGGUUAGCGCUCCAGGCGACGAGCCCCUCGGGGACGGCGCACGUGUGUGGGAGCCCCGAUCACCCGGCGGCGGCCAGCUGACGCCACUCGUCGCGGCUCGGACACCGAGCACGCCAGUGGGAGCCGCGACGAGCCGGGACCGCAAACCCUCCGAUCGCGUGGCCAGACGUGAUUUGGUCGCUACCACCCCCAGCUAACUGAUAACAUCAAAUGGAGUCUUAACUUCCUGACUCAGAGCCUUGGAAUGUAGUUCUGAAUCAUCACUUCUCUGUGUUGCUGCCUGAUUAUUGCAAUAGGAGGAAAAAUGAAGAUGACACGUGCAUAAGAAAAGACCUUACCUGUGAUUCCUGAGAUGCCCCCAUUUUGGACAGAAUGGAACAAAUAAUUCUUCACUUGGAUGGAAGUAAACACACAGGCACCUUCUUAAAGAGAUGGAGCAAAGAUAAACCUCUGAUGAUGGAGCCGUAAUUACAGUCUGAGUGUCCUGGUCUGGUACUGAAGACAGGGCUGGAUUGGCAGUGGACAGUUUGGAUGACACUCCGACACCUGGAAUAGGUUGCCCGGAGAGCAACCACUGUGGGAGCUGCGUGUAUUCCUACCCUGACGCCCUGAAGGAAAGGCAGCCUCCAAGUUGCUUCAGCUCCUCUUCUCCUAACCUGGAGGUGCCUCACUCCCUUCCCUCCUCCACACUCAAGCACUCUUUCUUGUUUCUAAGAGAAAGGCUUAGAAGUGACUCAUUUUGUAGCCUUUCUGCUCUCUGGGCACCUUGAGGUCCCCUGGAAAUGAAAGGAUUGAAAGCAACCAGCUUACUUUUCCUUGAGUGCCCAAACACUAAGGGGAAAUGCACACUGGGGAGACACUCUCUCUGGCUUUGUCAGAUACAAAAGGACGGAGCAGUAAAUGCACCCCUUCUCCCCUCGCUGGGCCCCCACUGGGCUCAUUCUUGAGUGUUUGUCCUAUUCUUAGCAACAAAGCCAGUUUCUCCAAGGGUCAAAUCUUGUGGUUUUAUUUUCUGGCUUUGCUCCACUCUUUUCUGGGACGGCCCUAAUCCCUGGGCCUCAGCAUCCCCACCUUGUAAUUAAAUGGGUUACACUCAGGUGAUCAUAGAUGGGGAAGAUUGUGUACUUGCAGCCUUCCAGUCGACUCCCUUAUUGUGCAGAUAAGGAGACUGAGGUUCAGAGAAGAGAAGUGGCUUGGCAGGGGUCACCCA